rnacentral:lncRNA from 12 species
AAAUGAGAUCCUCCCUUUCCUGGAUAGCUUGAGAAAUGGAUUGCGCACAUUGGGAUCAUCAACCUGAGCAUAUGCCAGUUGACAUGGGAACACUGAGGCCAGCAAUUUAAGGAUUUUCACAUUUGCCUGCAGUGAAUACAGAGUCCUGGAUUGUUUAGGCACAGAUUGACAGCCUGGAAUCCUAAGGAAGACCAAGACUCCAAACAGUAAGGCAUGGGUCUUCUGCAAUUCUAUUUCAUCCCCAUAGAAUUAUGCUAUGAUUUGAUUUAAGCUUGAAUUUGGAAGGCUCAUUGUUCUUAGGGAAAUACAUAUAAUCUCCUCUGGAUUUUUGCUUCAUAUUGGCUCUAGACAUGCUUAACUAAGUCAGGUUGGAUUAGCUUUUCAGAUUGGUUUCUUGAUUUAGUAUAGAUCAAAAUUUAAGUUUUAUUAUGAUUUUUAAACCCUCUUUGCCAAGUUUAGAAAAAAACUCAAUAGAAGGAGAAUAAAGAUAAAAGCACUGCUUUAAACA